rnacentral:rRNA from 1 species
UACGUAGGGUGCAAGCGUUGUCCGGAAUUAUUGGGCGUAAAGAGCUCGUAGGCGGUCUGUCGCGUCUGCUGUGAAAACUCAGGGCUUAACCCUGAGCUUGCAGUGGGUACGGGCAGACUAGAGUGCGGUAGGGGAGACUGGAAUUCCUGGUGUAGCGGUGAAAUGCGCAGAUAUCAGGAGGAACACCGGUGGGCGAAAGGCG